GUCUACUUGUUACCUGAAGGGCGUGGUUAUAUUGGGGCCAGUGAAUCUGCCGUUUACUCACCUUGUUCGUAACAACGCUCACCUGCUCUCACUUUGUCUCUUUCCCAUUGCUCUCACACACAAAAACACGUCCCAGAGAGGAGAAACUACCAAGAGAGAAGAAUCAUGUCGGUGGAAGUCCACAUAGAAUAUUGUAGUGGAUGAGGGUACGAGUCUCGCUAUCAGGACCUAGCAUCUGCCAUCAAGCGGAACGUUCCUGAUGUGACGGUGACGGGAACCACGGGGCGGCGCUCCAGUUUCGAGGUAACAGUGAAUGGUAAACUGGCCUACUCUAAACUGGAGGCAGGAGGAUUCCCAGACACCAAGGAGAUGGUGGCGAUGGUGAAGGAGGUGAGCCGUGGAGGAAAGGUAGAGAAAGUGAAGAAGAAGGAUAAUAAGUGUUUUCUCCAAUAGAUGAGUGGUUAUUGAGAGAAGGAGAGUGUUUUUUUAAGAUCCUGGGUCCUGAACUGAUUCUAUUAAUGAUUGUUCACAAUGAAACUAGGGAUGUGAACAUGAUGAAGUCUACAGUCAUUUCAACUCUGUGAUCUGAGGGAAAUACUCUCAUCCUGUGUCUCUGUGUUACACUGUCAUGUCUUAUGUUAUUCCUUGUCUGUUUUUCUUUCCUUAUACAGACCAAGAUAUGACUUGCAUUUAGUUUUACAUUCUAGAAAUAUUGUACUCGAUGAAGACCUCUGCAGUUGUAUAGGCUGUACGUGUAUUUUUAAAUGAUCAAAUCUAUUCUAGGAAUCAAUUAGUAUUGAGUUUGUGUGUUGGGAGGGUGCUGUUGGACAUUUACAAUAAUGCUGUUGGACAUUUACAAUAAUGCUGUUGGACAUUUACAAUAAGGCUGUUGGACAUUUACAAUAAUGCUGUUGGACAUUUACUGGUGUUGUUGUGUUAUUAUUGGAUGUUGUGCCAGGCAAUCUUUCCCAUCUUCACUUUGCCUCUUUCACUUUCUUUCUUACCGGGUGUGAUGAUGCAAUAGAUAUACUGCCACGGCCUUUAUAGCGGUCAAGGGAUUUUAUUUGAUCUUAUCUGAUUUUGUGUAUAGGCUGAGACUGGAUUCUAUUCCCAAAAAUGUUAUUCCUCUGUGUGUUAUAUAAUUGUAGAGGUACAAAGUCUUUAGUAUUAGUUUUUAUAUGGCUGUAUAAAGAUGACAGUUUAUUAUCAAACUUGUGAUGGAGAUCACACUUCAGCCAAGAGGGGAAUUUAAUGCAGUUGAGAUGUGGGAAAGGGAAUUACCACUCUGCCAUCUGGAGUUUUACUACAUUUUUACCAAAACUGGAUUCCAUGUAACUUAGAGCUGAUUGAUUAUUCAUUAUAUCCACUCUAUUAGCCUCUGUCAAAUGCACUUUAAACUGUAAUACAUCUGUUCUGUGAUGUCCUCCAGCAUAUUGGAGAAUAUUCUUGAAUCUGACCCUUUCUACCCCUCUAUCUCUAUGGCCCCCAUCUAACCAUGUCCUUCAGGUAACUGGUGAACAGGUGGAUAGAGGGAGAGUCACGCAGCUUAUCUGUGACAGUGCCCACCUGCUCUCACAUCUCUUUUGCAUUGCUCUCUCACACACACACACACACACACACACACGAGAGAAGAAUUAUGUCUGUGGAAGUCCACAUAGAAUAUUGGGUGGUUAUUGUUUAACGUUGUACUACAUAUGUUAAUGUCUACUCUAAAAUGUUAGGAGAUAUGUUGUUAUACCAAAGAAAACAACAGUGAGACAGUGAACAAACUGAAUGUGUUGAUAUUGGCUCAGGUUAUUGAUUUAAAGAGAGAGUUUGCAGACAAAAGCAAAACGUUGACAUGAUUUUCCAGUUAGAGAAACUCAUUAUUUACAUCAUCAGUCUAACAUUUAAACUACCCUCUCCAUUUCUAUUGUCCAGUGUAAAGUUCUAGAUAUGACAUGCCAUGUGCAGCCUGUGUGUGUGUUUACGGUGUGUUUGUGUUGUGGUCUGCAGUAGUAUAUGAGGGUACGAGUCUAUCAGGACCUAGUAUCUGCCAUCAAGCGGAACGUUCCUGAUGUGACGGUGACGGGAACCACCGGGCGGCGCUUGAAGUUACCCUGUCAGAUAGUGACGUCACAGCUGUGCUUCAACCACUAUAUGAAGAAGUUUAAGGAAAACAUCAACUCAAAUUGCUCCUUUUGUAAUGACCACCCAGAAACAGUUGUGCAUCUUUUUUGGCAUUGUAUGCAUGUAAGAAAACUGUGGCAAGACAUCAGUAGGUUUAUAAUUGCACACAUUUAUGAAGAUUUUACACUAUUGUGGAGAGAUGUACUGUUUGGAUUCUUUACAUACAAUAGAAAUAAGCGGAAUCAUUUUUAUGUAAUUAAUUGUAUUAUUCUUUUGGCCAAAUUUCAUAUACACAAAUGUAAAUUUACAAACAGAAAACCACAUUUUCGUACCCUACAAAAAUAAAUUGAACUGUAUUUUAAGACGGUUAAAUGCUCUACUAACAAAAAGCUGUUAGAAUUGUAAGUAUAUGCAUGUCCCUUAAGGUCCUUGUGUAAUUGUAAUGUGAUAUUGUACCCCCUAGCCCCGCCCCUAGCUCGAUUGUCUAUUGUUUGUAAUCUAUGUUCCCUCAUGUGCUUUAUGUAUUGAUUUGUUGUUAAUAAAAAUAAAAUUAAAAAUAAAUAAAUAAAAUAAAAAGACGUUACAGAUCUCAUCGGACGUCAACUA